AAGUCGUAACAAGGUUUCCGUAGGUGAACCUGCGGAAGGAUCAUUAACACGUAUCCAACGUUAAACCCCCCCCGUGAAUAUCAAGCGUGCUCUUACAUCCAGCAGUCUCUGGUAAAUCAUGUCGAACGGUUUGAUUCAGAGACCUGGCUUGUGCGAUGACGGCGAAAGCUAAAGGUGUAAUCGAGCGCUAGGUUCAGUGGUUUGGUCUUCAAACCACUUCAAUGGAUGUCAGUGUCAUUGAAGUGUGAUGACGCCGGAGUCCAAAUCACCAGGCGCAAGCCUCCCUAAAACCACAUGUCAGCGUAGGCCCUUCUGUCGUGGUUGGGCGUAAAAACGAACAACUGUUAACAAUGGAUAUCUUGGUUCUC
rnacentral:misc_RNA from 1 species